rnacentral:rRNA from 1 species
GACGAACGCUGGCGGCGUGCUUAACACAUGCCAGUCGAACGGAAAGGCCCUGCUUUUGUGGGGUGCUCGUGUGGCGAACGGGUGAGUAACACGCGAGUAACCUGCCCUUGACUUUGGGAUAUCUUCAGGAAACUGGGGCUAUUACCGGAUAGGAGCUCUUGAUGCACGGUGGGGGUUGGUAAGUUUCGGCGGUUGGGGCUCGUCUCGCGGCAUAACGGCUUGUUGGUGGGGUUGUGGCUUACCCAGGCUUCGACGGCUAGCCGGCCUGUGAGGAUGACCGGCCGAAUUGGGACUGAGGGGAGGCCCAGACGCCUACGGGAGGCAGCAGUGGGAAAGAUUGCAGAAGGAGCGGAAGCCUGAUGCAGCAACGCCGCGUGCGGGAUAACGGCCUUCGUGUUGAAAACCGCAUUCGCCUGUAACGAAGCGUGAGUGACGGUAAUGGGUAAAGAAGCACCGGCUAACUACGUG